GACAGAGGGUGCAAACGUUGUUCGGAAUUACUGGGCGUAAAGCGCGUGUAGGCGGCUCUGCAAGUCAGGUGUGAAAUCCCACGGCUCAACCAUGGAAGUGCACUUGAAACUGCAGGGCUAGAGUCCUGGAGAGGAAGGUGGAAUUCCUGGUGUAGCGGUGAAAUGCGCAGAUAUCAGGAGGAACACCCGUGGCGAAGGCGGUUCUCUGGGACGGUACUGACGCUGGAGACGCGAAAGCGUGGGGAGCGAACAGGAUUAGAUACC
rnacentral:rRNA from 1 species